rnacentral:rRNA from 1 species
AUGCGCAAAGGCCUCGCUUCUGCGGUCCUGCUAGUCCCCUGGAUGCUUUGGAAGCACCGCAACGGCUGCGUCUUCAAUCAUGGCCGCCCCCUCGUUGCUAACUUGCUCACAAAGAUCAAGGAGGAGGCCGCCCUUUGGGCUGCCGCUGGCGCGUUAGGGCUUAGAGCCAUCAUCCCGCAAACCUGGGACGUCCAUUAG